UCGCGCUAGAUGGGGAGCUGGCGGUUCCCUGCACCGGCAAUCCGCCACAGCCGGGUCGAAUUCCCCGCCGAGGUCCGGAUCUUUUGAACGGACGCGGAAAGAAGGCGUUGAAGGCUGGGACCUGCGCAGCUCGGGUCUCCGAACCCCGUCAGGUCCGGAAGGAAGCAGCGGUAAGGAGGCCGCCCGAGGGUGCCGCAGCCAUUCUGGCCGGAGUCUCUAGUUCGCGUGCCGCAGGAGUUCAGGGAUCGAAGUGGGGUGCGCGG
rnacentral:SRP_RNA from 1 species